rnacentral:tRNA from 1 species
GGCAGUGUGGCUCAGUGGUAGAGUGCUUGCCUGGCAGGCAUGAAGUCAUGGGUUCAAUUCCUCACAGACA